rnacentral:rRNA from 1 species
UGGGUGGGGGUAGUCCGCACGAGCGCACCCUUAUCCUUUGUUGCCAGCACGUAAUGGUGGGAACUCAAGGGAGACUGCCGGCGACAAAACGGAGGAAGGCGGGGAUGACGUCAAGUCAUCAUGCCCCUUAUGUCCUGGGCUACACACGUACUACAAUGGGCUUAAACAAAGCGAAGCAAGCCCGCGAGGGUAAGCCAAACGCAUAAACAAGCUCUCAGUUCGGAUCGGAGGCUGCAACUCGCCUCCGUGAAGUCGGAAUCGCUAGUAAUCGCAGGUCAGCAUACUGCGGUGAAUACGUUCCCGGGCCUUGUACACACCGCCCGUGGGGCGGGGGCGGCGGGCCGGGCGCG